AGGGUUCAUAAAAUUCACUUUUCAAACACCAUCACCGCCUCGUUCUCACCCUCCAUGCCCCGAUGACGAAGUGGUCGAUACCUCGUGUACCGUUUCUCUCAUGCCUUUUCUUUCUCCUUCCAGAUCGAGAUUCAAGCUUUUUGGGGAUAGUGUUAACGCAUAUGAGCUUAUCGUAGUGGCUAACAGCAAUAACAGAGAUCAGAUCAUGUAAAGUUGAGCUGGAGAAAUGUUAUACUAGGGACUGGAUUAGCUUUCAAACAAUGUUAACAAGAGAGGCGGUUUCCUUUGAACUUAACCCUGCCAGGGUUCGAGGCGAGCAUCUGAGAAAGAACAAAGAACACUCCAGAGAUACUUGAUGGGGAUCCUCUCUAAGCACUAAGAUUAGGGAAAGUAGUUUUUGAUGAUGGACUGAUAUGAGCAUCAAAACUGAAGGCUAAAGAACAAAGCUGAUAUUUGCUUAUGUUGUUGUAAUGAUACGAGAUUCAAUCAAGUCCGCCUUGUUAAAAUGGAAUUUUCUAAAUUAAUGUUGGUUCCCAAGGGUAAUGGGAUUUACUCCAAGAAAAAAAUCAGUAUAGGUUGCGCUGCUAAGUCGUAUUUUUUAAGAUUUGGUUUGUAGAUCUAAUGAAUGUUGUAACGAUAAUGUUGAAAAAAAUCGUUUGUUUUGAGCUUACAA